rfam:Daucus carota subsp. sativus cultivar DH1 chromosome 1, whole genome shotgun sequence.
GUUGCGGCGCCCUCUAAUUCGCUUGGUGCAGGUCGGGACCGUGUAUGUAUAUAUGUUGCCGGCGCGUAGAUGUAUGUGGUCCCGCCUUGCAUCAAUUGAAUCGGAGGUUGCCGCGAGU